rnacentral:misc_RNA from 1 species
UUGCGCGCAAGUCGCCCGAGCGCUGGUUGGAUAACGACGAGACAGAGUUUAACCACCAACUCGAAAUAGCCGCCGGUCGCUUUAAGCGGACGGAGAUGACGUUCAUUGGCACGACCAGGAAGCUCAAUGGCCACGCCUGUCGCAUUGCCAUCACCAAGAGCGAUGGAAGCGAGGUCGGCGACCUUGUUGAUUGGAAUGGGAUGGAUGAAAACCGCAUCGGUCCCAUCGAAACGGAGAUCCAGCAGAUCCUCUCCAAGCACGGGCGCCACGGCCUAGCCGCCGCCAUGCGCGCAAUCUGGGCCGAGCUAGACGAAACGGGCAAAUCCAAAAAUACCUAAUCCAUGGCGACUCAAGAUCCAGUUUUGGAAAACAAAUGGCCGGAAGACCCUGCUUUGGUACGUCAUGUCUUGAGUCUUUCCGGAGGAAAGGAUAGCGCGGCGCUCGCCGUUCACCUCCGUGAUCGCGUGUCAAACAUGGAAUACAUCUUCCACGACACUGACAAAGAACUACCGGACACUUACGAGUAUCUGGAGCGAUUGGAAGGUUAUCUGGGACGGAAGAUAGUGCGGACGACCUUCGGAACCACAUUCGAUCACAUUCUGCGAAUGAAAGGCGGGAUGCUUCCCUCCAACCAUCGGAGAUGGUGCACCGAAUUGAUGAAGCUUAAGCCUUUCGAGGAUUAUAUCGGCAGCGAUUUCUGCAUCAACUACGUGGGCAUUCGAGCGGAUGAAGAGCGGGUGGGUUACAUUAGUCACAAGCCCAACAUCAGAGCUGUAUUUACUUUCCGCGAAGAUGGGAUCGAUUACGAGGGCGUCCAGCGUAUCCUUGAAAAUUCCGGCCUAGGUAUGCCUCCCUACACGGAGUGGGGUCGCACCCGGAGUGGCUGCUUCUUCUGCUUUUACCAGCAGAAAAUCGGGUGGGUUCGGCUUAAACAGCGUUAUCCGGACUACUACGAGAAAGCUAAGGCUUACGAGAAGCCAAACCGCGUCAACGGUAAUAUUUUCUAUUGGUGUGGCGACGAAUCGUUGGCCGAAUUGGAGCAGCCGGAUCGUAUGACUCAAAUCGAGGAGAAUUGGCGCAAGGCCCAGGAACGCCUCGCGAAACACCAGCCAAACCGUUCGCUGGCAGAAACUCUUGGCGGUCUCAAAGUCGCGCCGCGACGUCGCGAAGGGUGCCUCCUCUGUCAGCUCUGACACUGCCAUAUUUAUGCCAGCGCCCACCAAAGGAGAAAAAUGGAUCAGGCUGCUGCGAUCCUACGGGCCAGUUGCGGACAACGAGGCCAUGCAAGCCGAACAUGUGGGAGGGUUUGCCGCUUCCCUCGACAUUCCUAAGCUUGCCUUCGAUCAUCCGGCGCGGCAGCUAAUCCUCGACUGUUUUCCGAUUUCCACAGGAUUGUUUCGCAACGUUGUGCUCACUGGCACCGCUGGAGAAGGGAAAACGUCGCUUUGUUUUGAGCUUGUUCAGGCUUUGACUGGAAGUUCCGCCAAAGGACAUAGCGGGCUCGAGAUCAUCACCGUGGCAACUCCUGGCGGCCCACGCACGAUCACUUUGAUCUACGAUGUCACGGCCUGGCGGAAGAAGACGAACAGUCACCUCAGCCCGGAACACGUAGGCGUGCUCAACAGGAUGGCGGAGUCUGCGUUCGGUGAAAGUGACGAAUUUUUUGUACUGGCCGUCAACGACGGUCAGAUGCAUGAACUCUUCCGAGCUCUACCUGCAGAUGCACCCGAAGUCGUCCGUAGACUCCAGAAGACUUUGAUUGGCCUUCAUGCGCGCGACGAGAGGGACAGCGGCGAUCGCCUGCGGCUCAUCAAUCUGAGCAUGGUUCCAAGUGAAACAAUCAUGGGCCUCUGCCUUGGUGCGGUUCUCGACCGCCCGGAAUGGGUCUGUUUCUCAGAAGAGAGCGACAAGCCUCUCUUCUCGGAGCCUUCCUCGCUUUCGAGGAACUACCGCGCGCUCAAUACUCCCGAAGUUCGGGCCAAGCUCAUCAUGUUGGCGCGCAUUGCGGAUGUGACGGGCCAUCAUUUGCCAACACGUGGGGUGCUUUGCUUACUUUCCAACGCCUUGUUGGGACACCCCGACGCCAGAGACCGCGUCAUCCGUCCGGGAACGGAAGCCAAUACAAUCGGGAAGUCCGGGACAGCUCAUAAAGCCGCGCUGCAUCGGACCCUCUUCGGAGAAAAUCUCACCGUCAACAAUCGGCGGAAACG